AAAUUGAAGAGUUUGAUCAUGGCUCAGAUUGAACGCUGGCGGCAGGCCUAACACAUGCAAGUCGAACGGUAACAGGAAGCAGCUUGCUGCUUCGCUGACGAGUGGCGGACGGGUGAGUAAUGUCUGGGAAACUGCCUGAUGGAGGGGGAUAACUACUGGAAACGGUGGCUAAUACCGCAUAACGUCGCAAGACCAAAGAGGGGGAUCUUCGGGCCUCUUGCC
rnacentral:rRNA from 1 species